ensembl:lncRNA
GUAAAAAAAAAAGUAUUCAGCAUUUCACAUUUGUUCGACAGCCCCGAACAAGGAUGUUUUUGGAGUUGUUGAAAAUAACAUCAAAUGCACACAUCACGAUGCAUUUUCCUCAUCAACAUUAGGAUUAACUGCACCAGAAAUAAAUGUUUCAUCAAAGUUUUCAAUUUUUUAAAUAAAAUAUUCUAGCAUUUUGCACAAGGAGCACAUCGUUCAAACAAACGUGCAUGUGCAAAUUCUGAAUGUGAAAAGUAAUCAGAUUCAAGUUUACAUGGGUGUUAUUCUUUUAUUUAAUGGAUUAUUAAUAAAAGGAUUACCCACUUGAAUCGCUUGAUAGAAAUCUCACUAUGAUUGUCUUCAAGAGGUGUGUGUGUGUAGCUGUAUCUAUAUAAAUAUCUAGAUAGAGAUUUAAGCUGCAUGUAGCUAUUACAGUUGUUAGCGCUGGAAGUGUAAUUCCUCCCCAGUCCUGCGGUGGCGCUGUAACCUGCAUCUUCACUCACAGCGCGUGCUUUCCUAGUACAGGCGUGCGCGCGCUACAUAUAUCCCCAGCGAGAAGAGAAAAUGGAGGAAGUCAUUACGUUGACCGCGUUGCAGACUACCUAUAUUCCUAAAUAUCUCGUUGUGAUGUGAAUGGCUCAGGAACUGCUCGUUAUUAAACACUAUUCCCAGUUCAGCAGAGCCUGAACGGCACCCAAACAGCUGAAGUCAAUGAGGGAUUUACGAAAUGAUUAUUCCUUAAAGAUGGGGCCGUACCCACUUUAUUUGGACCAUUUUGCGCCUCUGGAUCACAACCUCCAGUGUACUGCUGUAGGCCUCUGUUAACCGGCUAACUCACAUUAUUGCCAAACUACCUACAAACCUACCACUGAGAAACAUUCUGUUCUCAUCGUGCUUGUGAUGGUGGUUCGGGUUGAUCUUCCGACGUAUCAGACUCGGGGCUCAAAUUGAUGAGGUAAAUCCGACAACAUUAUUACUGAGCUGAAAUGAUAUAAGAUAUGAUAGUGAGGGUUUCAUUUCCAACGCGUUGUGAGCGGUAUAACAAUCACAACAGACUUGGGCAUCUGACCAGUCAGAGCAGAGUAGACUCUCUGUAAGGAGGAGUUUAGUGUGAACAGAUCCUUGAGCGAGUCGUUUGUAACCCUUUGAACAAGAGGUGAUGCUGCAAUGUAAAUUAUGAGAAAAUUUGUGUUUUUUGACCUUGGAUGCAUGUAAACCUUUUGUUUGAGAUUUCUAAUACAAAAUUAGGCACUUUUAUACAGCAUAAUAAGGGCACUUUAAAGAAAAGGUAUUUAAAAAAAAAAAAAAAAACAAAACCUGUUUGCACUAUUUGCUGUCAGUAUUUUUACACCUCUGCAUUUUCCAAAGUUCAUUCAAAGAAAGUGUUGAAAAAUUAGUUUAUUUGUAAAUGCGCUAUGUCAGAACAAAAAUGAAAUCAUAAUCACGAAUCGUCAAAACGUUGAAUUUUAUUAAUUUUUUUUGCGAUAUCGCCAAGCCCAAGAUCGCAGCGAUCUAAUUCAAUGAUGAACUAAUUAAACUAAUAAAAUUCUUGCUCAACAAGAAUUUCUACACUUUUAUUGCAGCGGGAGCUGAUGUACAUCUCAUAUGCCUCAUGUUUUAAAGAAGUAUAAGGUUUAAUUAGGAAACAUGCAUCAGUUUUCCAAGAAAGCUUGCAUUUCGACCUCAUUAUCGUGGACACUUUGAUGAAGGGUGGCACAAUAAGUUUAUAAUUUUAUACUGUAGCGUUUAUAUCAAUCAUUUUUCUAUCUGUGUGUUACUGUAAUAUGUAUAUUGUUUGUUGCUUCUUUGGAUGAGCAAAAAGGAGUUCAUCAUUGACUGAUGAAUUUUAGCUUCUGGGUGCAGAUAUGAUAAAAUGCGUUAUAGUGGACUGUGUUCCACUUUCAGCAUGUACGCGUCGUAUGUGUGUGUAAUAUAUAAUUAGUACAUAUAUUUUUGGUGUUCACUCAAAUAUCAAUUACAGAACUGUUCCCUUAAGUAAAUCAACUAAAAUGUUCAAAAUAAAUACUCGUCAACCUGUACAUGGACCACGCCACCUUAACUGAAGUGGUGAAAAGCUCAACUCUGCAUUGUAUGUGUUGUGCUUCUCUCUUAACUAUGGAUAAUUCUGUUUGAAAUCUAGCAAGUGACUCCAUCAUGGAGGAGAUUGUGAGCCCUGAGCUAGCUCAAAGUCCUGAGCCUGAGUCCAGCCAGGAUUUGGAUUCCAGUUCACAAGGUACCACUGACCUUGGAGCGCUGUAUGAAUGAGAGCUUCAUUUACCUGGUUCGCAGCAGCUUGGUGGAACUUUAAUCUGGCUCUGAAUCAGUUCUACUAUUGAACUUAUUGUUGCAAACUGGUGUCUCAAUUCAAAUCUUGCACUCUAAAUCGAUUCGGGGAAUCAUUUCAAUUCUGCUAUUGGAUCUUGGCCUCGCCGAAUUCUGUAUGGCGAAUCUAGCCGAUGAAUGCCACUUGCUUAGUCACGUUUGCUUUUGCCAAAUUCAGCUUGAUUUUCCUUUUUGAUUCUUUCAAAG